rnacentral:lncRNA from 1 species
UGUUUCACACCAUCUUCACCAUCUUUUAACGCUUUAAAUUUUUUUUGUUUUUUAUUUACAAUGCUUUUAAAAAAGAGUAGAUACUUUUUUGUAUUUUUUAAACGCUGUAGAAAUUUUAGUGAUGACACAAACUUUAUAAAUAAUAGUUACUUGAAUUAUGUACGUGGAAAGCAUAAAAUAGAUCAAACAGUAAAUUCUAAAAAUGUAAAUUAUGAAGGAAAAGAAAUUAAAGAUGACAUCAACAUAAUUAAAAAUUUUGAAAACACAGAAGGAAUGUCGAUGCAAAUUAAUUCUAGUACAUAUAAAAAAAAAGAAAUAUAUAAUAAUACAUAUAAUAAAAGUUUUGAACAUAAAACGAAUGUGAAUAAAACUGAAAAAAAACAAGAUGAUUAUAAAAAUGGUACUACUACUACUGGUACUGGUAGUGGUACUGGUACUUAUACUAAUAACAAUAAAGAUAACAUUAAUAAAAGUAAUAACAUAAGUAAUAACAAUAUAAAAGGCUCAUUUUAUCAAAAAGGUGUGAAUUUUUUUAAAAAUAAUAAUUACAUGAAUAACAUAACAAGUCAAAAUGACUCAUAUAAAAAUCACAAAGACAAUGAUACUUUUAACAUUGAAAACAGUAAUAUAAACAAAAAAGGAGUUAAUAAAAACGAGUGUGAAAAUGAAAACUCGGCAUUUUUUGAGGAGGGUAUUGAUAGUUAUGACAAUAUUAAUAUUCAUUUAAAUAGUAAAAGUGAUAACAGUUACUCUAGUAAUACAGAAAAGCAUGUACAUAACUUAAAUAAUAACAACAACAAUAACAACAACAGUAACAACAACAAUAACAAUAACAAUAACAAUAAGGAAGAUACGGGUAACCCAAAAGAGAACAACGAACAAUGGUUGGAAAAUGAUGAGGAUAUACCUAACAUCUUUGAAGUUGAUGAAAAUUUAAGUGAAGAAGAAAAAGCAGAAAAAUUAAAAUUAAUAAAAUUAAUAACUGAAAAAUUAGCCGGGCCUCUAAAAUUAAACGAUACAGAAGAAAAAAAAACAGAUAGUGAUAAAAAUAGUGAAGAUGAUAAACAAAAGACAGAAAACUCAAUUUUUGCUGAUAACAGACCUAUAGCAAUAGAAGUGGAUGGUCCUUCUCAUUUUUAUGCAAACAGUAACAGAUAUACUACCUAUACAAAAUUAAAGCAUAGAAUCUUAACAAAAUUAGGUAAACUCAUAAAAAAUAAAUGCAUACACAUAUGUACAUAUGUGCAUAAAAAGAGUAUUGUUAUUUUACGCUGCUAACAUAAAAAGAUAUAAAAAAAAAGACAAAAACAAAAAAAUGUAAUCUUAUAAUAUUUAUAAUAUUAUUAA